UACGUAGGGUGCAAGCGUUAAUCGGAAUUACUGGGCGUAAAGCGUGCGCAGGCGGUUCGGAAAGAAAGAUGUGAAAUCCCAGGGCUUAACCUUGGAACUGCAUUUUUAACUGCCGGGCUAGAGUAUGUCAGAGGGGGGUAGAAUUCCACGUGUAGCAGUGAAAUGCGUAGAGAUGUGGAGGAACACCGAUGGCGAAGGCAGCCCCCUGGGUCAAGACUGACGCUCAUGCACGAAAGCGUGGGGAGCAAACAGG
rnacentral:rRNA from 1 species